GGCGCCCAGGUUAACUAAGGAUGGGGGGCACAACACGGGGACUGGGUUAUAUGGUUCAACCCGGAAAUCUACGGGACGCAACCAAUUGAGGCCAGGCUGAGAAUUUGCGGAUUAGUGAGAGGUGUCCAUGCCGUAGUCAGUUCUUACUGGGAAGCAUCCUGUUAGGCAGGCACCGAGCGAGACCCACGCCCACCAGUUGCCAGCGUACUCUUGGGAGUGACGGGGUACACUGUGGGGACCGCCGCUGCUAAAGCGGAGGAAGGGAAUGGGCAACGGUAGGUCAGUAUGCCCGGAAUAUCCCGGGCUACACGCGAGCUACAAUGGUUGGUACAAUGGGUAUCUACCCCGAAAGGGGACGGGAAUCUCCUAAAACCAAUCUUAGUUCGGAUUGAGGGCUGCAACUCGCCCUCAUGAAGCUGGAAUCCGUAGUAAUCGCGUUUCAACAGAACGCGGUGAAUACGUCCCUGCUCCUUGCACACACCGCCCGUCAAACCACCCGAGUAGGGUCUGAAUGAGAGCGCUUUCUUUGGAGGCGUUCGAAUUUGGGCUUUGCAAGGGGGGUU
rnacentral:rRNA from 1 species